GGGGGUGUCACGGUUUCGACGGAAGCAGUUGAGAUUAAGGUUGCAUGUCGAGGAUUCCGCAGGCCUCGUUAAAUNGGCGGAAACAAUUUAAUUGCCGAUAACCAAUUGGCUUUAGCCGCUUAAGCGGCUCGCUCCGUUAAUCUGUUGCCUAUCNGAUUAACCUGAGCGUCAAAAUAAUAGGCUUUGCUGGCCUGAGAUGUUGGAGGGCAGGUUGGCAAGAUUUACUCCAUCUAGCUUCGAUUGAAUCCGGCAUCAGGGAGUUAUGGUAAGCGAACGAGGAUUAAGAGUCCAGAAAAUCUGAUGACAAACAUGUAGUAGCUUUUUUUGAGAUGUUUUCGGACGCGGGUUCGACUCCCGCCACCUCCAAUU
rfam:Bacterium TMED15 isolate TMED15 146812, whole genome shotgun sequence.